GAGUUGGUGUGCAUAAUGGUUUGAGUGUUGGACUGUGACUCUGAGAGUCCAGGGUUCGAAUCCCCCUCUCCUCG